rnacentral:rRNA from 1 species
AUUGAACGCUGGCGGCAGGCUUAACACAUGCAAGUCGAGCGAGCGGCGGACGGGUGAGUAAUGUCUGGGAAACUGCCUGAUGGAGGGGGAGAACUACUGGAAACGGUAGCUAAUACCGCAUACCAUCAGAUGUGCCCAGAUGGGAUUAGCUAGGAGUUGGGGUAAUGGCUCACCUAGUCGACGAUCCCUCGCUGGUCUGAUAGGAUGACCAGCCACACUGGAACUAAGACACGGUCCAGACUCCUACGGGGACCAGCAGUGGGGAAUAUUGCACAAUGGGCGCAAGCCUGAUUCAGCCAUGCCGCGUGUGUGAAGAAGGCCUUCGGGUUAUAAAGCACUUUCAGCGAGGAGGCGUUACUCGCAGAAGAAGCACCGGCUAACUCCGUGCCAGCAGCCGCGGUAAUAC